UGGAGCAUAAGUACAGUGAUGGCAGGAAGAAAUCUGUGCCAAGACACAAUGCUACUCUGAUCUAUGUUGCUGAAACUGCCAUUGUUUUUUUUGUCUUGCCAGCUUGAGCGAAACCAGGAUAUACAGCCAAAUCGCCUUCAAUCUCUGCCUACACCAUUGCUCGCCUGAUGUGAAAGCUAUGAUCCAGUUUCAGCCUUUCAGGAGAAGAAUGCUAAUAACACGGCAGAGGGUGUGAGGACUGGCGGUGGCCAGGCGCAGUUCUCAACCGGUUUAAGCAGGAGGCCCUGGAUUUGAAGAAGCGCCCUGUGCCCAGGUACACUGGUGUCAGUGAGGCAGGGGUGCAACGGCCAGCAUCAGCGGAGCAGGGCUGAGAGGAGAAGAAGUAGAGGCCCCCCUCUCACACCUGAG